rnacentral:lncRNA from 1 species
UUAAUGAGCUCACAACAUCACUGUAAGUAAUUAGGACACAAUUAUUAAUUAACAAUUUAUUUACUUUUUUAAUUAUGUCUUUAUCUUAAUUAACAUUUCAAUAUUGAUUCUUCAUAAACAGAGGCCAAGAAAAAAUUGAUUUUAAAAGGUUGGAUGCUCAUGUUCACCAAUUGAAAGGUAAAUAUUUUCCCCUACAAUUUUUUUUUUGUCCGUAGACUAAGUGGUAAAUAUCACUGAAACUCACUCACAGACAAUAUCGACAUUGUCCGGUUGGCGUAGUCAAACUUUAAGGAAGCUUGCCGAUUAUUGUUAUUUUGGGUAGCGGGCGGGGGAUGGUUGAAUUUUUAGUGUGGUUUGUUUUUUGUAUCAUUACUCUGUACAAAACCGUAUAUCUAUUUCUGUUGUUUGCUAUCUAUUCCUUGGUUAUGAUUUCUUGUGAAGUUUUCCUUUUGGCUUUGGAGAUCAUAGGUUUAGUCAAUUUAUGUGCUAAUGAAGCUUCAGUCCAGAUUGGAAUCAAGUCACCUGAAGUAAACAUUCUUCAAUUGCUUCCACAAGCUCUUAUUUAUAUCAGUCGUGGAUGUGAAAGUUUUGAGGUAUUUCUCUACUCAUUUAUUUGGUUGUACUUUGGGUUUGGUGCUUUUAUUGAAAGAUGCAUUUGUGUGGUACCAUUUGUGAUUUUAAUUUCAGCUAUAAACCUGAGGUUGUUGUGCUUAAUUGUAACGUUGAUUGCUCCGCCAAGAUACAUCUACAACCGGAAAGCAAAGAUUGGGCAUCAAGGAACAACCCAAGAAAUGUUGUGUUAGAGCAUUGAGGGGUAACUAUUACUUCAAGUUACUAGGUUUGUGUUAGAGCAUUGCAACCGGUCUAUUAAUUCAAUUAUAUAUGUAGGCUUAUAAGUACUACACUUAUACUAGAGCUUGUGCUGUUUGGUUAGCUUUGUUUAGCCUAGUCUUUUCGUAGUUAGCAUUGUUUGAUUUUGUUAAGAGAUAGUUACAAUUUUUGUAAUUUAGUUUCAUGAAAAUUUUGUAACAGAAUUAUUUUUGAUUUGGUAGGAAAUUUGAUUCUAUAAUAUUUCAUAUUAAUGGUUGAUUAUUGAUGCAUUAAGUUUCAGUUGUGUGGUAAUUGAAACUAUUGUUGUAUNNNN